rnacentral:rRNA from 1 species
UGAGCAAUCUGCCCUUCUCUUUGGAAUAAGCGUUGGAAACGACGUCUAAUGCCGAAUACGACCUCCUUUCGCAUGAUCGGAGGUGGAAAGCUCCGGCGGAGAAGGAUGAGCUCGCGGCCUGUCAGCUAGUUGGUGUGGGUAAUGGCCCACCAAGGCGACGAAGGGUAGCCGGCCUGAGAGGGUGACCGGCCACACGUGGGACUGAGACACAGCCCAGACCUCCGUACGGGAGCAG